rnacentral:rRNA from 1 species
UACGGAGGUGCAAGCGGUAUUCGGGAUGAUUGGGCGUAAAGCGUCCGCCGGUGGCUGUGUCAGUCUGCUGUCAAAGAGCGAAGCUCAACUUCGUAAAGGCAGUGGAAACUACACGGCUAGAGUGCGUUCGGGGCAGAGGGAAUUCCUGGUGUAGCGGUGAAAUGCGUAGAGAUCCGGAAGAACACCGGAGGCGAAGGCGGCUUGCUGGGCUCGGUCUGACGCUGAGGCGCGAAAGCGUGGGGAGCGAACAGG